UCACUUCAAAGAUAUUACCUAGGAGUCAAAUUCUCUGAAGGUGGUGAGAGGAAAGGUGAACAGAAAUGCUGCUUUGUGGAUAUCCUCAAGUCCUUGCACAAGGUGCCUUGUAGGAAAUACCAAAACUUGGUCAUAUUGCAGUGAGGCAGUGAGGGGUAUAUCAGCGUGUCUUCAAAAGCAAUGCUGUAAAGAGUCCAUCAGGUGUACCCUAAUCAAGGGAUGAGGGGAGUAUAGAAGACACCAACCUCAUCGAAAUCAGUCAUGGAGCUUCAUCACCACAAGAAUCAUUUUUCAGUGCUGUCCCUAUUUUUCUCCCAGCCCAAUUUUCAAGUGCUAAAAUGAAAAAUUUUUUGCUUUGAGAAGUGAAACCUUUUGGAACUGGAGGAGAAAAUGAGUUCCCCUGAUACCUGGC
rnacentral:lncRNA from 1 species